UACGGGGGGGGCAAGCGUUGUUCGGAAUUACUGGGCGUAAAGGGCCAGUAGGCGGCCAACUAAGUCCGACGUGAAAUCCCAAGGCUUAACCUUGGAACUGCGUCGGAUACUGGAUGGCUUGAAUUCGGGAGAGGGAUGCAGAAUUCCAGGUGUAGCGGUGAAAUGCGUAGAUAUCUGGAGGAACACCGGUGGCGAAGGCGGCAUCCUGGACCGGUAUUGACGCUGAGGCGCGAAAGCUAGGGGAGCAAACGGG
rnacentral:rRNA from 1 species